rnacentral:lncRNA from 1 species
GCUGAUCUCAGCAUAGUAUUCUGUCUGUCUGGAAUAUGUAUAAUGAAGAAAUGUGGAAGACAUUCCCUGUUUCCAGUGAGCUCUGUUACUUGUGGGCAUGCAAGUACCACUCGGACACAUGGCCACUUCUACUUGGAGCUCAAUGGAGAGACAGAAUUCCAGAAAGAUGUGCAGUGCUACAGAUACUAGAUGGGAGAAAGUCAUCACACUGAAAGGGGAAACCCACACAUGAGUACCUAAGAAGGAUGUUGCCCUGGAACUGCCUCUUUGUAUUUCCAGAUGUUUUCAAGCAAUUGUUACAUUGGCUUGCAGUAGUCAUUUGGACAAAACAACAGAGAGAAGUACAUCUUCACUUAGUACCUACCAGCAAGCAGUAGAUGUGUUCAGACCCCAAUCUGUGGGGCCCAAAGGCUUCAUGUGACAAUUUGUGUACAGAGUACAAUGAUUGAAUGUGUCUGCCAGGCUGCAGUGCCCAUCACCGAGAAAACGCAAAUUCUGAUAUUUUGAAUCUGUGGGAGCGUUCCUGAGCAAUCUGUAAGGCGGGCUGGAUGAAGGUGGUCCAGUAUCCUCACAGAGAAAAGGUAACCAUUUCAAAAAUGCCUUGAGCAACCCAGUCUGCAGAUUGUUAUUGGUGUGACUAUUCCUGAAACAGGUGUUAGGUUCAUAAAUUUGCAUAACAAAAAGCAUUUCCUGUGGCAGCAGCC